ACCCUGCAACACCCAUUGCAUUUUUCUUCAGCAUGACCAACAACUCCACCACCUCCGAACUUAACCAUGGCCAGCUACCCAAUAUAUCGUCCAGAUGCUUGACGGAUAGCAUCACCGCGUCACACGAUUUCGAGGUGGCCAGUUACCAGUUGCUGGAUGGCAUCGGGGUCGGCAAGCACGUUCGCUCAAGUUUCCUGCUUGCCUAGCAUCUGCCCGACCUCCCCAGCCAACCCAGCCGCCCCCUCCGGGCUGAGCCCCUGUGCUGGUGGUCGACAAGAUUUUUUUAGUUAAUGAUGAGAUGUUUAGCCAUCCUCCCUGGGGCUCCAAUCUGUGAGUAUGUUGGUGUGUUGAGGAGGACUGAAGAAGUGGGAGGUUCUAAAGAUGGACGGGAGGGCAGGGUCUGAUAUGCUUAUGCCAUCACUUCACGUUGAGAACGAUUCCGAGGCACCACCGCGCCGGAGGACUACAUCGAUGCUGGCUCUGUUGGAAGUUUCGCAAGGUUCAUAAACCACAGCUGCAACCGUAACCUCUUCGCCCAGUGUGUCCUAACAAAUCACCACGACGUCAAGCUACAAAAGGUGACGCUUUUUGCUGCCGACACGAUACUUCCACUUCAGGUAGCACCUGACAUCGACAGCUAUGACAUCAGGAACUCCCUCGCAGUUGUCGAAUACCUCGCUGAAAUUUAUAGCUUCUACAGACGGACCAAGUUGAGUUGUGAGCCCCCCACUUACAUGACACACCAAACUGAUAUCAAUGAGAAAAGGCGUAUUUUUCUGAUUGACUGGUUGAUUGAGUAUGCAGGUGCAGUACAAGCUUGAGCUACUGGGUGAAACACUAUUCCUUGCUGUCAACAUCAUUGAUAGAUCAAUGCAUAGAAAAGUAUGUCUCAAGUUUUCUCUUGAAUGGAACCUGCAAGUUUCUCAUCUGUUUAAUGAAGCUUACCUUGAAAAGAAUUAUAAAUACUACAGGAAGGAGAGUAAGAUAAUGACAGUUCAUUGGAAUAUGGAUUUUGAGAGGAUAUAUAUGGGUUUAGCUCUCUGUAAUUACAUAUUACUUUCCUUGCUGAUGCUAUUGCUCAUGUUAUAAAACUGGUCUACAUCGCACACAUGGU